rnacentral:SRP_RNA from 1 species
AUUCUCAGAAACAGCAAAAGAUCCCGAACUCCGCCAGAUCUGUGAUGGAAGCAACGGCAGGGAAUCCUUUUGGGUGUAUUUGGGGCUAAA